UGAAUAAGGACCGGCUAAUUCCGUGCCAGCAGCCGCGGUGAUACGGAAGGUCCGGGCGUUAUCCGGAUUUAUUGGGUUUAAAGGGAGCGUAGGCCGGAGAUUAAGCGUGUUGUGAAAUGUAGAUGCUCAACAUCUGCACUGCAGCGCGAACUGGUUUCCUUGAGUACGCACAAAGUGGGCGGAAUUCGUGGUGUAGCGGUGAAAUGCUUAGAUAUCACGAAGAACUCCGAUUGCGAAGGCGGCUCACUGGAGCGCAACUGACGCUGAAGCUCGAAAGUGCGGGUAUCGAACAGGAUUAGAUACCCUGGUAGUCCGCACGGUAAACGAUGGAUGCCCGCUGUUGGUCUGAAUAGGUCAGCGGCCAAGCGAAAGCAUUAAGCAUCCCACCUGGGGAGUACGCCGGCAACGGUGCAACUCAAAUGAAUUGACGG
rnacentral:rRNA from 1 species